CCUACGGGGGGCAGCAGUGAGGAAUAUUGGUCAAUGGACGCAAGUCUGAACCAGCCAUGCCGCGUGCAGGAAGACGGCUCUAUGAGUUGUAAACUGCUUUUGUACGAGGGUAAACGCAGAUACGUGUAUCUGUCUGAAAGUAACGUACGAAUAAGGAUCGGCUAACUCCGUGCCAGCAGCCGCGGUAAUACGGAGGAUUCAAGCGUUAUCCGGAUUUAUUGGGUUUAAAGGGGGCGUAGGCGGUCGGAUAAGUUAGGGGUGAAAUCCCGAGGCUCAACUUCGGAAUUGCCGUUGAUACUGGUCGGCUAGAGAGUAGUAGCGGUAUGCGGAAUGUAUGGUGUAGCGGUGAAAUGCUUAGAGAUCAUACAGAACGCCGAUUGCGAAGGCAGCUUACCGGGCUACUUCUGACGUUGAGGCACGAAAGCGUGGGGAGCAAACAGGAUUAGAUACCCUUGUAGUC
rnacentral:rRNA from 1 species